UACGUAGGGUGCAAGCGUUGUCCGGAAUUAUUGGGCGUAAAGGGCUCGUAGGCGGUUCGUCACGUCGGGAGUGAAAACUCGGGGCUCAACCCCGAGCCUGCUUUCGAUACGGGCGGACUAGAGGGAGGUAGGGGAGAACGGAAUUCCUGGUGUAGCGGUGGAAUGCGCAGAUAUCAGGAGGAACACCGGUGGCGAAGGCGGUUCUCUGGGCCGUACCUGACGCUGAGGAGCGAAAGCGUGGGGAGCGAACAGG
rnacentral:rRNA from 1 species